rnacentral:rRNA from 1 species
UACGGAGGGUGCAAGCGUUGUUCGGAAUUAUUGGGCGUAAAGGGCAGGUAGGUGGUCUUGAAAGUCUACUGUGAAAUCCCCGAGCUUAACUUGGGAAGUGCGGUGGAUACUCCAAGACUAGAGUGCUGGAGGGGUGCGUGGAAUUCCCGGUGUAGCGGUGAAAUGCGCAGAGUAUCGGGAGGAACACCGGUGGCGAAGGCGGUUCUCUGGGCCUUACCUGACGCUGAGGCGCGAAAGCGUGGGGAGCAAACGGG